GCCAGAUGUGGUGGCACCCACAUCUGUAGUCCCAGCCACUCAGGAGGCUGAGAUAGGAGGAUCACUUGAGUCCAGGAGUUCAAGGCUGCAGUAAGCUAUGGUGGUGCCUGUGAAUAGCCAAUGCACUCCAGCCUGGGCAACAUAGUGAGACUCUGGUUCUU
rfam:Gorilla gorilla gorilla genomic chromosome, chr7, whole genome shotgun sequence